AUUCCAGUGACACCAAGAGUGUAUAAAUGCCAGCAAAAACGGCUCCAACCUAGGCGGACCCACAGACGUUGAUCGACACGUUGAAGCUGUGGCUCCCAGAGCAGGGCACCGCUGUAAUCUUUGCCCCUACGUGUCGAAGUCUGCGGCGAAAUUGAAACGGCACCUGUUAACUCACAGCAAGGAGAGACCGUUCAAAUGCACACUCUGUUGCAAGACCUUUGCCCGAUCCGACACACUCACGGAUCAUUUGCGUGUGCACAGUGAAGAAAAACCGUACCACUGCAAUAUGUGCUCAUAUAGAGCUUUUAAUAAGAAGACGUUGGUGCGGCAUUGGAAAAUCCACGCUAACAAGAAUGAUGCAGACACUUCUUGAUGUGUAUAAGACUUGUGCAGGCAUGUUUGCUUUUGAAUAAAGUAGUGCUACUGUG